CAUAGUGGGGAUGGGCGGUUUGGGAAAGACAGCCUUAGCUAAACUGGUGUGUCAUAAAGCCAUAGAAAGAAAUCUUUUUGACGACAAAAUAUGGGUUUGCGUUUCUGAUAACUUUAAUGAACAAAAAAUUUUGGGAGAAAUGUUGCAAACUUUCAAUGUAAAUGCGGGUGGAGUGACCAACAUGGAUGCAAUACUUAAAGAGCUUGAAAAGCAGUUGGAGGGGAGAAAGUUUCUACUUGUUCUUGAUGACGUG
rnacentral:misc_RNA from 1 species